GGUUGCUUAGCUCAGUUGGUUAGAGUGCUGCUUUGACAUGGCAGAGGUCGCUGGUUCGAAUCCAGCAGCAACCACCA
rnacentral:tRNA from 2 species